rnacentral:rRNA from 1 species
ACACCUCCAGCGCCGAACGCCGCCCCCGACGACUUACUCCAGCUCCUGCCCCAUGUCGCCGCUCCGCUGUCCCUGAACCGUCGAGCUCGUCCUGUCGUCGUCUCGAACGGAACUUGCUUCUUCUGCCCGCCGCCGCGACGUCUUAGUCCGCCCCUACCCGCGCUUCAGCUGCUGCCGCUGCGCCAGCAGCUCGUCCCCUACGGUACCGUACCACGAACGGAGGACGUCAAAGGACCUCUACUGUCUCUCAUUCACUCUCUCCCUUUUGCCUCCCUUGCCCUCUUCCUCUUCGUUGCUCCCCUCGCCCCAGGCCGGACUACCUUCACCAGCGGCUGCCACUGCCAAGCGGCCCCGCCGCCCAGUGCUCCUCCUCGCGAGCUCGUAGACGCGCGACCUAGCUCCCGAGCUCCUCGUGGAGAGGACACCACGACCUGUGCGUGCCCUCGUCCCUUCCCCUCCGCCGAUGCUCGACCAACCCACCUAGCCCAUCCCCUAGGGCUACUCCUAAAAACCUAGCCCGUUCUAGGGCUCCACCCCCUCUGGUCCACCUCAAUCACCGCCGCGUUCCUCCCCUUACCUAC